GCCAGGUGUGGUGGUGUGCACCUGUAGUCCCAGCUACUAGGGAGGCUGAGGUAGGAGGAUUGCUUGAACCCAGGAGGCCAAAGCUGUAGUGAGCUGUGAUCACAACACUGCACUCUAGCCUGGGUGACAGAGUAAGACCCUGUCUCAA
rnacentral:sRNA from 1 species